UAGGGAAUAUUGGGCAAUGGACGAGAGUCUGACCCAGCCAUGCCGCGUGCAGGAUGAAGGCCUUCUGGGUUGUAAACUGCUUUUAUCUAGGAAGAAAAAACUCUUGCGAGAGGAACUGACGGUACUAGAUGAAUAAGCACCGGCUAACUCCGUGCCAGCAGCCGCGGUAAUACGGAGGGUGCAAGCGUUGUCCGGAUUUAUUGGGUUUAAAGGGUGCGUAGGCGGCCUUAUAAGUCAGUGGUGAAAGCCCAUCGCUCAACGAUGGAACUGCCAUUGAUACUGUAAGGCUUGAGUACAGACGAGGUAGGCGGAAUUGAUGGUGUAGCGGUGAAAUGCAUAGAUACCAUCAAGAACACCGAUUGCGUAGGCAGCUUACUAGGCUGUAACUGACGCUGAGGCACGAAAGCGUGGGGAGCGAA
rnacentral:rRNA from 1 species